rnacentral:rRNA from 1 species
GACGAACGCUGGCGGCGUGCCUAAUACAUGCAAGUAGAACGCUGAAGGAGGAGCUUGCUUCUCUGGAUGAGUUGCGAACGGGUGAGUAACGCGUAGGUAACCUGCCUGGUAGCGGGGGAUAACUAUUGGAAACGAUAGCUAAUACCGCAUAAUAGUAGAUGUUGCAUGACAUUUGCUUAAAAGGUGCAAUUGCAUCACUACCAGAUGGACCUGCGUUGUAUUAGCUAGUUGGUGAGGUAACGGCUCACCAAGGCAACGAUACAUAGCCGACCUGAGAGGGUGAUCGGCCACAAUGGGACUGAGACACGGCCCAGACGCCUAAGGGAGGCAGCAGUAGGGAAACUUCGGAAAUGGACGGAAGGCUGACCGAGCAACGCCGGGGGAGGGAAGAAGGGUUUCGGAUCGUAAAGCUCGGUUGUAAGGGAAGAACGAGUGUGAGAGUGGAAAGUUCACACUGUGACGGUAUCUUAACAGAAAGGGACGGCUAACUACGUG